GCAAGCACUCUGCAGCACACUUGCAGCCAUCAUGUUUCUUUACCAAAUACUCAACUUGUUCUAUGUAGCUUUGCAAAAGGAGGACGACUCCAAACAUGACCUGUCCCUUUACAAGCGUGGUGAUUUAUUAGAAGUCCCCAGGACAUUAUUCACCCAUUUUGGUAUCUACUUGGGAGACAAUCGUGUGGCUCAUCUCAUCCCGGACAUCCUUCCUGUGAUUACCAAGAAUAAAUCUGCAAUUGCCAAGAUGGUAACAAAUAACCGCCUGCUGCUGGGGGUUAUCACUAAGGUUGCCAGCGUCAGAGUGGACUCUGUGGAAGAUUUUGCGUAUGGCUCAGAGAUUCUGAUCAACCACAUGGACAAGGUGUGCAGCCAGCCUCCUUUAGACGGGGAUGAGGUGGCCAGACGGGCUGAGAAACUCCUGGGCUCUGUCACCUACAGCUUACUGUGGUACAACUGUGAACACUAUGUCAUGUACUGCAGAUAUGGAAUGGCCAUCAGCUACCAGACGUACCAGUUCUGCACAACUGUACGGAAGAUUGUUUGCAGCAGGAUGAGUGCCUAUUUGACUGCACUGUGUGGUAUAGGAACCAUGCUGUAUCUGGGUUGUGUGACAUCACUGACAGUUUUACUGACCGUGCUCAUCUCAUUCACCAUCUGGAUGGCAGCCUAAUGGACUCUGUUAAGACGGCUCACGAGAAAGACUAAUUUAACACUCUGGUGGAAGCUGAAAUGUAUUAUUGUGGUUUAGCUGUGUGACUAAAGGCAUUAUGAAACAAAGGUGUUCACUUUAAUAGAAAUGUCAGUAUUUUACGUUUUACCUUCUUUAAACAAUAGCCGAUUUAAAAAAUAUAUAUUAACUGAUGUUCUAUUUGUCUUGUCCUUGAUAGUUUGCUCCUAACGGUCGUGCUGCUAUACAUCUUUUUUUCUCGUUUACCAGUAGCAUAGAUUUUAAAUGGACUUUGACUGAGCACAGUGGCAAACUCCAGAAGACUGAGAUGAAGCUCAACAGAGAUACUGUAUCUGGAAAGAAGAGUCUGCCCUGUGUAUAAAUAUGAAGGUGUACUGUAUGUAGACUGGUGUUGUCGUGAAUGCUUUUCCGUGUGGUACUACACUUAUAACAUGUUCUAGCUAAAAGGUUGGCUUGGACAAAGUGCAGUAAGUUUCUUCUUCAUGGAAUACAGUAUCAUUUUGAUAUAUUGUUACGACAAAGGUCAUAUGUCAUAUGUCAGUCCAUUAAACGUGUAUUUCUACCUGCUUCCUGUUGUCUUUAUUGUAUCAAACAUCAAUAACUUUUAUCUUAUCACCUUAUCUGCUGCCAUCAAAGUUAAUUUGAUUUAAAUUUAUUUUUUUACAUCAUUUUUGUCUGGUUUCAUUUGCCUUUUUGCAGUCUUGAAAUGUUUGCAUCCAACUUUUGUUUUCAUAAAUUGCUGUCUAAAUAAAGAUUAUUAUUAUUAAAAUCUUAUUAUUACA